rnacentral:rRNA from 1 species
UACAGAGGGUGCGAGCGUUAAUCGGAAUUACUGGGCGUAAAGGGCGCGUAGGCGGUUAUAUGAGUGUGAUGUGAAAGCCCCGGGCUUAACCUGGGAAGUGCAUCGCAAACGAUAUAACUGGAGUAGAUGAGAGGGUGGCGGAAUUUCCGGUGUAGCGGUGAAAUGCGUAGAUAUCGGGAGGAACACCAGUGGCGAAGGCGAUCAUCUGGGGUUGUUCUGACGCUGAGGAGCGAAAGCUAGGGGAGCAAACGGG